rnacentral:lncRNA from 12 species
GCAAAUUGUGUGCAGACAAUGUGCUCUUUCAGCAGGCUUGGAUCACACGGGGACCUUGGGGUGGGAAGUUCUGCAGCCCACGCUGGGCAAAACCCAUUUUAUUGCUGAGGAAUAUGGCUGUUGGUGAAAUUCCCCACACAGAAAAGGAAAGGAAAUCUGACUCUUCCCACAGCCAGCAGCCUGGGAACGUCACAAACCCUGAAUUAUCCCUGCUUGAUGAGCUACAUCUGCUUUCAGAGCAUCUCAAAUCAUUUCAUAACCCUGCCUGUAACUUCAGUGCUGCUGCCUCCAGGUAUGUGGGAACAAUGUGGCCACUGCAGAACUCUGAGAGCAGCCCCUCUGCAGGGCUGUGCCUGGCUCUGGCAACAAAACAGGAUGAGUUUGGGCAAUUUGGUGUCAGGCUGAGGCAGCAGCA